GUGUUGUAUGAAAGGAGAGAAGGUUAACACCCCCCUUGAUAAGGAUGGAAAAGGCCCUUCUGGCACUGCCACCUAGUUUUGGUUUUUUUUUU